UGCUCUUCCUCCUCUCUCUCCCUGCAGCUCCUGCCGCUUUCUUUUAUUUCCUCUCACCUUUUCUCCUGCCUGCCUGUUAUGUCUCUUGUGCCCUCCUUCCUCCAGCACAGCACUCCACCAUAUCUGUGCAUCUAGAGCAUAGAGAAUACAUAUGCACCAGCAGCAGACACAAUUUUCUACACUCUGGUUCCUAAUGGCGUCCCUCCUCCCCCCACAGUUUGGCACCUGAGGCAGCCGCGUCAGUUCACCUCAUGCGUCGACAACACUUGAAGGACAAAGGAAGCCUCAUUAGACAGAGAUCCUGUCUGAAAGGAGUUCAAUCAGUAAGACUGCUAAAGCAUGUGAUAUUUUGGGGGUUCACAUGUUCCCACUGCAUGUGGUUUGAAACAAUGGAUAUUUCAAGAAAACUGCAGGCUUUUCUAAACUGACAUUAUGCCAAAGUUUGCCUCACUUCAGCUGAAUUGGGCCAUGCUGCUGGAGUCCAAAGCAUACAUGAUUUAGACCUUGGAAGAGGUGCCAUGAGGUGGAGCAAGCUAGAAUUGCAACCAUAAAGAUCAAGGUAAAGGAGAAGGCCUUGGUUCCUGUGGCUUAACAUGACAUUUGAACUGAUGCUCCCACUUCCUGAGGCAAGCCUACAAGAAGACAACACUGAUGGGUUAUGCCAGCCCCUGACCAGUCUGCCAGUACCCAUAAAGCCCUGCUAGCACGAAGCAGAGUCCCAGCAACAUUAUCAUCUGGUUUCUUAACUGCAGCUUCACUUCUAUUCCAUGUGAGUCUAAGGACUGCAAGAGUUGGAGACCCCUUUUAUCUUAGGUAUCUUAUUUUUCCUUUUUUCUACUUUUUCCUUUUGCUUUUAUUAACUGAGAGACUUCCCAGCCUUUUAUUAUUUAGGGUGUGAAAGUAUGGCUGGUUGCCUGCAUGUGUGUAUGAGCCCACAUGGGAAAGAAGCCAGAUAGAAUGAGUCUUCAAUUCCAAAACAGCCCUAAACCAUGUCUCAUAAAAUCAUUGAAUGUGUGUUUCUUAUUCCAUGCAAGUGUCCCAAAGAAACUAUACUGUCAGCUAUAGAGUUUUAAGUGAGAGCUGUUAAAUUUCUGCUUAUUGAAGUCUCAAUAGCUCUGAAUCUGUGUUGGGGAUGGAGAAAGGAGAGCCAUCAUACGUAACAGUGAAAUCCAAGGAGGACACUUUAAUUGGCUUUUGGGUUGUAAGACUUAGCUGUAAACAAUAAUUUGGUUUCAGUACUAAAAUAUUCAGCCAGCUAAAUUGGCUGCAUUGCUGUGAGUGAAGAUCACUAAUUGGGGGUUAUAACUAGGGCCCUACCAAAUUCACGGUCCAUUUAGAUGAAUUUCAUGGUCAUAGGAUUUAAAAAAUCAUAAAUGUCAUGAUUUCACCUAUUUAAAUCUGAAAUUUCAGUGUUGUAAUUGUAGGGAUCUUGACCUAAAAAGGAGUUGGGGGGGGGUCGCAAGGUUAUUGUAGGGGGUGUUUGCGGUACUGCUGCCUUUACUUCUGCACUGCUUCUGGUGGCAGCGCUGCCUUCAGAGAUGGGCCGUUGAAGAGUGGUGGCUGCUGGCAGGGAGCCCAGCUCUGAAGGCAGAGCCACCGCCAGCAGCAGCGCAGAAGUAAGGAUGGCAUGGCAUGGUAUUGCCACCCUUACUUCUGUGCUACUGCCUGCAGAGCUGGGCCUUCAGUCAGCAGCUGCCAUUCUUCAGCUGCCCAGCUAUAAAGGCAACAAUGUAGCUGUAAGGAUGGCACAGUAUGGUAUUGCCACCCUUACUUCUGUGGUGCUGCUGGCACUGCACUGCCUUCAGAGCUGGGUGCCUGGCCAACAGCCGCUGCUCUCCGGCCACACAGCUCUGAAGGCAGCGCAGAAGUAAGGGUGGCAACACUGCGACCCCCCUGCAACUCCCUUUUGGGUCAGGAUCCCCAAUUUGAGAAAUGCUGGUCUCCCCUGUGAAAUCUGUAUAGUAUAGCGUAAAAGCAUGCAAAAGACCAGAUUUCAUGGGGGGAGACCAGAUUUCACAGUCUGUGAUGCGUGUUUCAUGGUGUAGCCUGACCCAAAGUUGGGUAAAUAGAAUUAUAACUUAAGGAUUAACAGGUUCUUGUCCCAAGAUCAGGCCCAGUUAGAUUAUUGUAAAAUUAUCAUAUAAUUUGGGAACCCCGAUGUGCACAGGUGCAACACUCACACUAUAGGAACCCUCUCUCUAUAUAAAUAUAUGAUUUAUUAAUAAUUUAGCAAAGCUUAUACACACACUUAAACUUAAGAAAGCAGAUAGCGAUAAUACAAAAAGUACAUUUGGACAUCCAUACUUACACCUUUAUCUUUCAUACUUAACCAUUAUCUUUCUAAUCACCGUCAUCGUCCUCAUCUUCCCCAAUGGCCAUCAUUCUGACCCCUCCCAAGGUCUACAUCUUUUCCAACCUAUCUGCUGUCCCGGGAUGUUACUUUUAUAGUAGGUUACGCUAAUGCUGCCAUGACCAAUGCAUAUUCAAUAGAGGUCCUUAUUUGUAUUUCCUCCCCUUAAGGUUUCCAUUUUCUAUAGAUUAGUAUAUGUAUGAUGUUACCCUUUUAGCAUACACGUCAAUUUGCUGUCAUGGCAGCUUUGCAGUCGGAGGCCCUGUCCGGAACUUUCCGGAUGCUGGUGUCAGCAAUGUUCUGUGCUGGGGUCAACUGUGUUCUAUGGGUGGCUGAUGUCAGUAUUCUGGACAAAAUUCCCCCUCUGGCAUGCCACUUUCAGUUCCCUAUAACUUAUGAGUUACUUAAGUUUAUCUAUACCAAAGGUUAUAGGCCUCAAGCCUCACACUAUCUACUAAAGCCAAAUCUUACAGGAUAAAAGCCUGUAGGUUCCUUGCAUUACUACUAAAUGUAAUAAAGCACGAUAACAAAGCAAUGAAUAUAAUACAGGUAUGCUGGCCCACUGGGCAACAAUGGCCAUGAAUUUGGUAGGGCCCUAGUUAUAACUAAAUGGACAGAAACCUCCUGGAUUCCUGUUUUAAGAUUUAAUGAGGAUUGAUUAUCUGCUGCAUUAAUCUGAUGAUUUGACUAAAUUGAUUACUUAAUUCCAAUCCAAUAUUGCUUCUGAUUUGUUGACUUUUGAUUUGAUAAUUGUAUUAUUCAAUUUUUAGAUAAGUUUAGUAGUGUUUAGUACUGUGGGUGGUUGUAAUAGUAGUUUAGCCUUA